GUGCCUGUGGCUCAAGGUGUAGAGCGCCGGUCCCAUAUACCAGAGGUGGCAGGUUCAAACCCUGCCCUGGCCA
rnacentral:tRNA from 1 species